CAGCUUCAACAGCACAUAGACUAAAAUUGGAACAAUUAAGAGAUUAGCAUUCCCUCUGUGCAUGAAUGACAAGCAAAUUCAUGAAGUGUUCUAUAUUAAA
rnacentral:snRNA from 1 species